GUGGGGUAACGGCCUACCAAGGCAACGACGGGUAGCCGGUACGAGAGGACGAUCGGCCACACUGGGACUGAGACACUGCCCAGACUCCUACGGGAGGCUGCAGUCGAGAAUCUUCCGCAAUGGGAGAAAGCCAGACGGAGCGACACCGCGUGCAGGAUGAAGGCCUUAGGGUUGUAAACCGCUGUCACGCUAUAGGAAAGCUUUGUAGUUAAUAGUUGCAGGACUGACCAAAGCGAGAGGAAGAGCCGGGUAAGUCCGUGCCAGCAGCCGCGGUAAGACGGAGGGCUCUAACGUUGUUCGGAAUUACCGGGCAUAAAGCGCACGUAGGCGUCGUGCUAAGUUGGAUGUGAAAGCCCUCGGCCCAACCGGGGAACUUCAUUUGAUAGUGGCAGGCUCGAGGACGGCAGGGGUAAGUGGAACUCCAGGUGGAACGGUGAAAUGUGUAGAUAUCUGGAGGAACACCGGUGGCGAAAGCGGCUUACUGGGCCGUCUUUGACGCUGAGGUGCGAAAGCUAGGGGAGCGAACGGGAUUAGAUACCCCGGUAGUCCUAGCCGUAAACGAUGGGCACUAGGCAAUGGAUCAUCCUAUGGGGUUCAUUGCCGUAGGUCAUGUGUUAAGUG
rnacentral:rRNA from 1 species